UGGGGGAUAUUGCACAAUGGAGGAGACUCUGAUGCAGCAACGCCGCGUGAGGGAAGAAGGUCUUCGGAUUGUAAACCUCAGUAGUCAGGGACGAAAGAAAUGACGGUACCUGAAGAGUAAGCUCCGGCUAACUACGUGCCAGCAGCCGCGGUAAUACGUAGGGAGCGAGCGUUGUCCGGAUUUACUGGGUGUAAAGGGUGCGUAGGCGGGAUAGCAAGUCAGACGUGAAAUACCGAGGCUUAACUUCGGGGCUGCGUUUGAAACUGUUAUUCUUGAGUGAAGUAGAGGCAGGCGGAAUUCCUAGUGUAGCGGUGAAAUGCGUAGAUAUUAGGAGGAACACCAGUGGCGAAGGCGGCCUGCUGGGCUUUAACUGACGCUGAGGCACGAAAGCAUGGGGAGCAAACA
rnacentral:rRNA from 1 species